UACGUAGGGUGCAAGCGUUAAUCGGAAUUACUGGGCGUAAAGCGCACGUAGGCGGCUUUGUAAGUUAGAGGUGAAAGCCUGGGGCUCAACUCCAGAAUUGCCUUUAAGACUGCAUCGCUUGAACGUCGGAGAGGUGAGUGGAAUUCCGAGUGUAGAGGUGAAAUUCGUAGAUAUUCGGAAGAACACCAGUGGCGAAGGCGGCUCACUGGACGACUGUUGACGCUGAGGUGCGAAAGCGUGGGGAGCAAACAGG
rnacentral:rRNA from 1 species